GGGGACGUAGCUCAGUGGUAGAGCGCGCGCUUUGCAUGCGCGAGGCCCCGGGUUCGAUCCCCGGCGUCUCCA